GACGAACGCUGGCGGCGUGCUUAACACAUGCAAGUCGAACGGAAAGGCCCUGCUUUUGUGGGGUGCUCGAGUGGCGAACGGGUGAGUAACACGUGAGUAACCUGCCCUUGACUUUGGGAUAACUUCAGGAAACUGGGGCUAAUACCGGAUAGGAGCUCCUGCUGCAUGGUGGGGGUUGGAAAGUUUCGGCGGUUGGGGAUGGACUCGCGGCUUAUCAGCUUGUUGGUGGGGUAGUGGCUUACCAAGGCUUUGACGGGUAGCCGGCCUGAGAGGGUGACCGGCCACAUUGGGACUGAGAUACGGCACAGGCUCGUACGGGAGGCAGCAGUGGGGAAUAUUGCACAAUGGGCGGAAGCCUGAUGCAGCAACGCCGCGUGCGGGAUAACGGCCUUCGGGUUGUAAACCGCUUUCGCCUGUGACGAAGCGUGAGUGACGGUAAUGGGUAAAGAAGCACCGGCUAACUACGUG
rnacentral:rRNA from 1 species